RKKCGCCCUUAGAGUUUGAUCCUGGCUCAGAACGAACGCUGGCGGCGUGCUUARCACAUGCAAGUCGAACGUGAUCCAGAGCUUGCUCUGGUGAAAGUGGCGCACGGGUGAGUAACGCGUGGAUAACCUGCCCUGGUAUCUGGGAUAACAUCUCGAAAGGGGUGCUAAUACCGGAUAAGCCUACGGGCUCUUCGGAGUCUGCAGGAAAAGGAGGCCUCUAUUUAUAAGCUUCCGUAUCAUGAUGGGUCCGCGUACCAUUAGCUAGUUGGUGGGGUAAUGGCCUACCAAGGCGACGAUGGUUAGCUGGUCURAGAGGAUGAUCAGCCACACUGGAACUGAGACACGGUCCAGACUCCUACGGGAGGCAGCAGUGGGGAAUUUUGCGCAAUGGGGGAAACCCUGACGCAGCAACGCCGCGUGAGUGAUGAAGGCUUUCGGGUCGUAAAGCUCUGUCAGAGGGGAAGAAAUGAAACGUGCUAAUAUCACGUUUUCUUGACGGUACCCUCAAAGGAAGCACCGGCUAACUCCGUGCCAGCAGCCGCGGUAAUAC
rnacentral:rRNA from 1 species